AUUACUUAUAUUAUCUCAUGUGAUCCUCUUAAUAGCCCUAUAAUGUAUGUGCUAUUGUUGUUCAUAUUUUGCUAUUGAAUAAACAGAUUCAGAAGUGAAGUAACUUGCCCAGGGUCAACAGCUGAUAAGCAGAACUGUGACUCCAAAGCCUUGGGGUUCUAUCUUUGUAUCUUGGUUCAGAACUGCAGUAAAAAUCUGUAUCUUUUUUCCCAGGUGUUAGCAACCUAAGGAAUGGAUAGUAACAACAGAAGGUGGUUGAGCCAACAUUCAGCAGCCUGUGAGCUGGCUUUCCUGCUGCCGUUUCUCCUUCCCUACCCCCAUUUCUCACAAUAUACUUCACAACUGACUGUAAAGCACCACCAGACUUUGCCCAGCAUAGCUCCCUCACCCAGUCCAGUGGUAAAAUACAACCAGAACUGUGACCAACGUGGAGACCAGCACAUUUCAGAGACUGCCGGUCUCCAAGCUUCCCUAAGGAAGCAAAGUUCGUGUGCUGCACAGCUGAGAGGGGUUUAAAAGGACAGAGAUGUUUUACAAGCUCUGGGUAAAAAUCACGUGGUCCUAGGCUGAACCACAUCUUUGGAAUGUUUCAUUUAUCUUCUUUAUAGUAAAGUUCUGUCUCUGCAGAUUCCAGCAAAUUGUGGAGCAAAAAACACAGAGUCAUUGUAACCAAAUAUCCAAAGGUAAUUAUACAACGGCAGAUGUAUCCUAUUAGCAUCACCACGACUUAACUCCAUUCUGUGUCUCCUCUCCAGCCUGACAGGCCUUCCCAAGUCUCCCUGUGGGUUGGUGGGAAAGCAGAUUGGCUGGUCGCAGGGGGGUGUAGGGAGAUGGGCCUCUGAGCGAGUUCCUGUGCCCUGUUUCUCUCAACAAGCAUAACUACUUCCACCUGCCUUCAUAAUUGGUUCCUGGGACAAGAAAAGCCUCUUGACAAGCUGGACUGCCUCACAUGUGUUGCAUAAAUACUUGAAAUAUGGACCUUCUCCCCCCUCAGCCACCCGUCCCCAGGGUUCAAGACUGAAUGCAUCGAGAAGUGCUGCUGUUUUUGUGUUGCAGGAGCAGAGCUUUUGCUUUUUCCUCUGCUUUGCAGCUCACUCUCUCUGAUGAGUAAUGAAAAAGACUGGGGUCUAGACAAUCUUAGAUUAUUGCCUGCCCCAUUCUCCCACUCAGGUCAUGGAAGUUGGCAACUCCAAUCACUCUUUGCAUAGAGGCCUGGAGAGGGGACAAGAUUUUCUGUGUUUUGCAGCAACUGAUGGCUGAACUGGGAUGCAAGUCCUGGUGGUCUGACAGCAAGUCCAACAAUCACAGUGAGAGAGAGUCAGAAGAGUCUGGGCUAUGGAUUCUGACCUGAAUUUAAAGCCAGCACUGCCACUGGCUUACUGUGUCUCCUCCACUUCCUUCUUCCUAGAAUGGAAAUAAUAAACACCUCAUAGAACUGUGAGCAUCAGACAGGAUAAUGUACAUGAUGCUCAUGCGGUCUUUGGUUUAAAACCAGAAAAGACCCAAGUGACAACUGCUGGCACUUUAAUGGGGAUAGAGAGGAAGUGUGAUUGUCCCACACAAAUGGGGGAUUUGUGCUAAAGUAAGAUACCGAGCAGGGCAGAACUCUUUUCACUGAAGGGACCUUAAAUGCCCACCCCCA